ACGGUCACUAAAAUAAUCAAAGAAGGU
rnacentral:sRNA from 1 species